rnacentral:rRNA from 1 species
UACGUACGAGGCGAGCGUUAUCCGGAAUUACUGGGCGUAAAGCGUGCGCAGGCGGUUCGUUGUGUCGGCGGUGAAAGCCCCGGGCUUAACCUGGGAAUGGCCGUUGAAACUGGCGAACUGGAGUGUGGCAGAGGGGGGUGGAAUUCCGCGUGUAGCAGUGAAAUGCGUGGAGAUGCGGAGGAACACCGAUGGCGAAGGCAGCCCCCUGGGCUAACACUGACGCUCAGGCACGAAAGCGUGGGGAGCAAACAGG